AACAUGCAGAGGUGUGGAGAUACCUGCUAAAACAUACAGAGGUGUGGAGAUACCUGCUAAAACAUGCAGAGGUGUGGAGAUACCUGCUAAAACAUGCAGAGGUGUGGAGAUACCUGCUAAAACAUGCAGAGGUGUGGAGAUACCUGCUAAAACAUGCAGAGGUGUGGAGAUAUCUGCUAAAACAUGCAGAGGUGUGGAGAUACCUGUUAAAACAUGCAGAGGUGUGGAGAUACCUGCUAAAACAUGCAGAGGUGUGGAGAUACCUGCUAAAACAUGCAGAGGUGUGGAGAUAUCUGCUAAAACACGCAGAGGUGUGGAGAUACCUGCUAAAACAUGCAGAGGUGUGGAGAUACCUGCUAAAACAUGCAGAGGUGUGGAGAUACCUGCUAAAACAUGUAGAGGUGUGGAGAUACCUGUUAAAACAUGUAGAGGUGUGGAGAUACCUGCUAAAACAUGCAGAGGUGUGGAGAUACCUGCUAAAACAUGUAGAGG